GAUGAACGCUGGCGGCGUGCCUAAUACAUGCAAGUCGAGCGAAUGGAUUAAGAGCUUGCUCUUAUGAAGUUAGCGGCGGACGGGUGAGUAACACGUGGGUAACCUGCCCAUAAGACUGGGAUAACUCCGGGAAACCGGGGCUAAUACCGGAUAACAUUUUGAACCGCAUGGUUCGAAAUUGAAAGGCGGCUUCGGCCGUCACUUAUGGAUGGACCCGCGUCGCAUUAGGCUAGUUGGUGAGGUAACGGCUCACCAAGGCAACGAUGCGUAGCCGACGUGAGAGGGUGAUCGGCCAGACGGGGACUGAGACACGGCCCAGACUCCUACGGGAGGUAGCAGUAGGGAAUCUUCCGCAAUGGACGAAAGUCUGACGGAGCAACGCCGCGUGAGUGAUGAAGGCUUUCGGGUCGUAAAACUCUGUUGUUAGGGAAGAACAAGUGCUAGUUGAAUAAGCUGGCACCUUGACGGUACCUAACCAGAAAGCCACGGCUAACUACGCGCCAGCCGCCGCAGUAA
rnacentral:rRNA from 1 species